UAACUGUGAGUAUAUGUUACAUGUACUAAGUAUGAAUGACCUCAUAUGUUGACAUUGGAUAAAAAAAAGCAAUGUGUGUGUCUGUGUGUGUUUGUGUAGGACCAGACUGUAGGGGUCUGCCUGGCCUAGCUGGUCCUGUGGAGUUCCUUCUUCAUCCCAUGCAGACUGUCUCGGACACAAGCUGCCACCCCAACCCCCCUAUUUAGGACCCCUUUCCCCCACAACCCCCCCCCCCCUCCAUUCUGCGAUCGGGCACCCAUUUGGCUCCAUUGUCUGGGGUGUCCGCACACAUCUGUCAUGCAUGGGCAACAUUGGCACUGACAGAUCAGCUAUUGUCCCCUCAGCCGAGGGGAGGACGCAGCCACAGUUUGGGGUAUGCAGCAAGGAGAAGCAGAGACGGUGUCACGUCUGGUGCUGUAGGCGCUUCUGUUCCUUCCACUCUGAGCUCCAACGGAGGUUUGCAGUUAGACAACUACACUACCCAGAACGCACCACACGCUGACAUCACACACACCUACUCACGUGACACCUCACCUGCUUCCGCCAGGAAGCCCGGAGUACUGAUUACCCCAGAGUAUUUAAGGACACUUCACGAACACACACUGGUUUCUACCACAUUACAAAGCGUUACCUUCUCUGUGAUUGUUUUUCUGUGUAUGACCUUGCUUUUGUUUUUUCGACGCCGAUUUCUGCCUGUACCUCUGAUUGUGGAUUUACUGUGUUUGACCUGGACUGUUUAACGUUCCCGAUUUUUGGAUUAUCUCUGAUGCUGGCUUCCUCGUGUAUGAACUCUGGACUGUUUCCCGUUUAUGGUAUGGUUUAUUCUCUGAGGCUUCUCUUUACCGGUGCUCUACUUUGUUUUUGUAUCACUACUCUUUAUCUGC